UAGGUGAACCUGCGGAGGGAUCAUUACCGAGUUUACAACUCCCAAACCCCUGUGAACAUACCAAUUGUUGCCUCGGCGGAUCAGCCCGCUCCCGGUAAAACGGGACGGCCCGCCAGAGGACCCCUAAACUCUGUUUCUAUAUGUAACUUCUGAGUAAAACCAUAAAUAAAUCAAAACUUUCAACAACGGAUCUCUUGGUUCUGGCAUCGAUGAAGAACGCAGCAAAAUGCGAUAAGUAAUGUGAAUUGCAGAAUUCAGUGAAUCAUCGAAUCUUUGAACGCACAUUGCGCCCGCCAGUAUUCUGGCGGGCAUGCCUGUUCGAGCGUCAUUUCAACCCUCAAGCCCUCGGGUUUGGUGUUGGGACUCGCGAGUUAAAUCGCGUUCCCCAAAUUGAUUGGCGGUCACGUCGAGCUUCCAUAGCGUAGUAGUAAAACCCUCGUUACUGGUAAUCGUCGCGGCCACGCCGUUAAACCCCAACUUCUGAAUGUUGACCUCG
rnacentral:rRNA from 1 species